UUAUUCUGAUUGGAUCAGAGCACACGUUACUCGCGCGAUCGUAAUCGCAUUCUGCCUGCCACUCGCGUAUUUACGGUGCCGCCUUGCAAAAAGGGUUCGAAAUCGCCAAUUUAAGAUUUCACAUGCCUCAGACCGUAUGUCUACUGAGCUAAUAACAAAGUGUAACCGACUGCAAGAGAGUUUUAUCGCUGCACCAUCAUUAUUUCCAGCGAGGAGGGACGCCGAAAAAAUCACCCGCUGCUGGAUUUAGCGUAACACACAAUUGCAGUACCUGGCCGGAUUCGGAAUUAACUGCGAAAUUGCGCCAAAUUCAAUUAUUUACCUUUUGAAUUGAAAUGAUUUUCCAGCUGAAGCUACAAAAAUUUAAUUAAAAUUUCUUUCAUAUCCUGGCUUGACGAUGGUUAUAUUUUAAAAGUACAAAAUAUGAAUUGUGAAAGAUGAAAAAGUUAAAUAAUUAAUAAAACAUCGAGUUACGUGUCACGAAAAGUUGAAGCCAAGCAAACCUCACCUUGAAGAAAUCUUUAAUAAAAAAUCAUUAUAUGCUCCACAUCUCUCACAACAUUAUGAUCCUUCACAUCGUGGCUUCCCAGAGUGCAAUUUAAUUAUAAUUAUCCUGAUAAUUCAUCUUCGCAGUGAACGUGAAACCAGUUACUUAUAUCUUUAAGCAAGUCAACGGUCGGAAUGCAAAACGAACCGCUUCAUCAAUUUUUCAAAAUCUGCCUACCAUGCUGCUGCGCACACGGUUGAAAAGGCAGCCAGAGGCCAAAGGGUUAAUAGAUCAGGGAAUAUUAACGACGUUCACACGUUUGUUUUAACAAUGUGAACCGACAUCAGUUCAAAAGAUGUUACAAAAAAGUUAAUUAAUUCUAGAAACUUUUUGAAAAAUAUAUUCAAUACAAUCUUCACGUUAAAAAUUAUAAAUCUAAUUAAAACAAAAUAAUUUAACUAAUGUAUAUCAA